AAUAAUAGAACACCUCUACCGAAUGAAAAAAAUUAUGUUUAGUGUUUUAUUGAAGUUUGAGUUGCGGGCUAAGGAUCAUACAGAGAUAGGAGCUCUUCCCAUAGAUACAGACCAAUCCUCUUGUGUGUAUCAUACAGAGGUAAGAGCUCUUCCCAUAGAUACAGACCAAUCCUCUAGUGUGCAUCAUACAGAGGUAAGAGUUAUUCCCAUAGAUACAGACCAAUACUC